CCGAAUUGCUGCGAUCUGCUGGCGAUCGCUGCAAGUUGCGGUGCAAGAUGAAGAACUUGUUGAAUCGGGUGUACAGCAGUUACGUAUUGACGUACUGCCGAAGUUGUACGGGAAUGCACGAAGCUUGCACUAGCGCCGACCGUUUCAAAUUGCAAGUCAGUCGAGUUUAGAACGCCGAGGUUGCGAGUUUACGUAGUUGCGUGUAGCAAUUCAGUGUUAAUUGUUCUCAGAUUUUAUUAAUAUAUAAAAAAUGAAAUGCGAUAAUAUUUUAAUUCCUGUGCAGCAAUGAAUUUCUGACGCUGUGAUUUUUUUUGAGCAUUUUUGUGCCAGAAACAAGUUUUUGAAAGUGGCUCGCUAGUAACACCUACACAGAGUUCCUUUGUUCGUUUUUUAUCACCCUUUUUUCCUAUCCACGAAGUCUGUUCGUCGAAGAAGAAGAAGAAGAAGAAGAAAGAACUUGUUAUUCCUCUCACGUUGACUGUUACGUCAGAAUAGUGGAAGAACCUUUUCCCAUCCGGAGGGCAUUUCUAUAUUUAUAACAGCAGAACAGAAUGCUCCAGUGAGAUGCUUUCCACACGCGAACAUGACCCCGCAUAGACGACCUCCGAGGAGAUGGAUUGGGUUACGUCUCCAAGAACUGAAGAUGCUGCCUAAGAAUAUGCAAGUAAUUUUCUAAAAAUUAUAAACUAAGUACCUUUCAAGAACAGCGGACAGAUGUCUGUACUCCACUCGAGUACUCGUGUUUACCAAGUGCGGUAUUUUCGUUUUGUGUACACGAUAAAUCUUAAUGCCCAUUUAAUAUUAAUACAGAUCUACUAUUGAAAUUCUAAUCAUUCUAAAAUACCACACUGCACGGGUCUGGAAUUAUUUUCCUACGUAUUUCGCUAAAUAUUUACAACAUCGAAAAAUGUUUCGAAUAUAAAUUGCAGAUUCUACAUUUUGUAUCGUCAUGCCAGUUAUUUGUGUGACGAGCUUCUGUUGAAAAAAAAAUGUGGUAUUUCGUUUGGGAUUCGUGUAAUGUGAGGGUUGUAUCCGGCACCCCCCUCCCCCAUGUGAGUUGUUUGAUUUUGUGUUGUGGCUACAGAUUUUAGGGGAUGUUUUUAAGUUAUUGCGCGUAGGAAAUGGGAUUGUGUUCCCUGUAAACAUUAAUUGUACAUAAAUUGUGACGAGUUUGUGGAUAUAUUCCAUAUUACGAAACUUGAACAAACAAAUUAGUUUUGGUCUUAUAAAGCCGAAACGCGUUUGGCAAGUAAAGAAAUAAAUUGCCAAUAAUUGUGGUAAAAAAAUUGUCGGUUCAUUACACUUCUAUCAGAACGCGGGGUAAGUUCUUUUGUCAGAGAUGUCUCUGCUCAGAAUUCCUUCUCCCACUCAUUAGUAGGGAUUUACCAGAUGAUGAUGCUUGGUAACGAUGACAACGCCUUGCUGUUAAUAGCACAUUGUCCACUACAUUGGUCUGCUAGAUUAACAACACUAAUUGGCUACUUGUACGACAGUCCCACUAUCCUGAAAGGCAUUUUGUUGUUUUCCUCAGUCUAUAGUGCAUGGUAGACUAUGAAAUAGGCCACGGCCGUUUUAUUUCGAAGUGUUAAGCGGACGUUGU